rnacentral:rRNA from 1 species
CCUACGGGGGCAGCAGUGGGGAAUAUUGGACAAUGGGCGAAAGCCUGAUCCAGCCAUGCCGCGUGUGUGAAGAAGGCCUUCGGGUUGUAAAGCACUUUCAGUGGGGAAGAAAGCCUUGGGGCUAAUACCCUCGAGGAAGGACAUCACCCACAGAAGAAGCACCGGCUAACUCCGUGCCAGCAGCCGCGGUAAUACGGAGGUUGCGAGCGUUAAUCGGAAUUACUGGGCGUAAAGCGCGCGUAGGCGGUCUGAUAAGCCGGUUGUGAAAGCCCCGGGCUCAACCUGGGAACGGCAUCCGGAACUGUCAGGAUAGAGUGCAGGAGAGGAAGGUAGAAUUCCCGGUGUAGCGGUGAAAUGCGUAGAGAUCGGGAGGAAUACCAGUGGCGAAGGCGGCCUUCUGGACUGACACUGACGCUGAGGUGCGAAAGCGUGGGUAGCAAACAGGAUUAGAUACCCUAGUAGUC